rnacentral:rRNA from 1 species
GCGGCCUAUCAGCUUGUUGGGGAGGUAACGGCUCACCAAGGCUUCGACGGGUAGCUGGUCUGAGAGGAUGAUCAGCCACACUGGGACUGAGACGCGGCCCAGACUCCUACGGGAGGCAGCAGUGGGGAAUCUUGCGCAAUGGGCGAAAGCCUGACGCAGCCACGCCGCGUGCGGGAUGAAGGCCUUAGGGUUGUAAACCGCUUUUAACAGGAACGAAAAUGACGGUACCUGUAGAAUAAGGUGCGGCCAACUACGUGCCAGCAGCCGCGGUGACACGUAGGCACCAAGCGUUGUCCGGAUUUAUUGGGCGUAAAGAGCUCGUAGGCGGUUCAGUAAGUCGGGUGUGAAAAUUCUGGGCUUAACCCAGAGACGCCACCCGAUACUGCUUAACUUGAGUUCGAUAGGGGAGACUGGAAUUCCU